rnacentral:ncRNA from 1 species
GAGUUGUAUAAAAGGAGAGAACGCUAGCACUCCCUUUGACAAGGAUUGAGAGGCCCUUGGAUCUGAUGACGCGCAUAUAGUUAAGGCACUGCCAUCUAUUUUGUGGCUUCUAACCAUCGUUUUAA